AUUCAUCACUGCCGGUGGGCCAGGAGUUCCUUAUCAACAGGAACCUCACCUGGGUGGAGGGUGGCACACAGGUGCCUGUGUCAGUGUGCACUGACAGCUGUCCUUCAGGAACUCGUAAAGUGCUUCAGAAAGGAAAACCCAUCUGCUGUUAUGACUGUACACCGUGUCCCGAGGGAGAGAUUAGCAAUGCUACAGAUUCCUUUGAUUGUUUCCCUUGCCCCAAGGAAUUCUGGCCUAAUGCAGAGAGAG